rnacentral:rRNA from 1 species
CGAGCGAGUCUGCCUUGAAGAUCGGAGUGCUUGCACUCUGUGAAACAAGAUACAGGCUAGCGGCGGACGGGUGAGUAACGCGUGGGUAAACCUGCCCAAGAGAUCGGGGAUAACACCUGGGAAACAGAUGCUAAUACCCGGAUAACAACAGAUGGUGCCUAUCAACUGUUUAAAAGAUGGGUUCUGCUAUCACUCUUGGGAUGGGACCUGCGGUGCAUUAGCUAGUUGGUAGGGUAACGGGCCUACCAAGGCGAUGAUGCAUAGCCCGAGUUGAGAGACUGAUCGGGCCACAUUGGGGACUGAGACACGGGCCCAAAACUCCUACGGGGAGGCAGCAGUAGGGAAUCUUCCACAAUGGACGCAAGUCUGAUGGAGCAACGCCGCGUGAGUGAAGAAGGGUUUCGGCUCGUAAAGCUCUGUCGUUGGUGAAGAAGGACAGGGGUAGUAACUGACCUUUGUUUGACGGUAAUCAAUUAGAAGUCACGGCUAACUACGUGCCAGCAGCCGCGGUAAU